GUUGAGAUUUUUACAUGCAUAUUGAAAGGUAUAAGAUACACUUAUACCCAUGUUUCCCUCCAAAUGAAGGUUGUUUACUUUUUCAUAAUGUUCACUGCUAACAGCUCUCGCUUUACUUGUUAAUAAACGGUUUAUAUUUUCUAUUACAGAUAUAAUGAUGUAUGAAUAUAAUUAGUCUUAUUUUUUACUUCUAUCAUUUCAACAGGUUGUCCAAAGGUCGGGUAAAUGUUUCAAUUAAUGAGGAUGUCUCUGUACUGUUGAACCCGAAGACCAUUAUGUUAAUAUUUGACAUAACUGCUUGCAGCAAAAAGCAGGAUCAAAGCUGUUCUACAGGCAAGAAGCAUAAAAAAGUAAAAAGAAAGCACAUCACCUUGCAAUUGGGCACCUAUUGUUGUGGUGUAUA